GAGGGUAUAGCUCAGUGAUAGAGUGCGUGCUUAGCAUGCAUGAGGUCCUGGGUUCAAUUCCCAGUACUUCCA
rnacentral:tRNA from 1 species